CGGGGAGUUUUUCUUCGGCGCCAUCAUGUGUGGAGAAGUUUUACUUGGCGGCAUCUUUGGCUCUUGUUUCAAAGAAGCGAGUGAGGGGGAAGGCCCACAGGUCAGUGGUGGAAGCUAGAAAGUCCGUGUCAGCGGGAUGAUGUGUGUCUGCAGGCUGAGGCAUCUGCACUGGAGCCAGAAGCGAGGCUCACAGCAAGGACCAGAGCCCCCUAAGGAGAACCACAGCCAUUUUCAGUGAUAACAAGGUCCUGAGCUCCUUGGAUGAUGAGAGCAGCACAGUUCCCAUCAGGACAACCGGCAUGACCAGGGAGGCCAGGGACACAGUGCACAAAGGCGACACAGUUUUCCACGGGGCCACCUCCUGAUCAGGAUUCUGCAGAAGGCCAGAAUUUCUCCUGGCAGUCAGUGGGA